rnacentral:rRNA from 1 species
GUGCACCUUUUGUAGACCCCGGGAUAUUUUCCAUGGUCUAUGUUGCUUCAUUUACCCCAAUGUAUGUUAAUAGAAUGUUUGUGCCAAAUAAUAUAUAUACAACUUUCAGCAACGGAUCUCUUGGCUCUCGCAUCGAUGAAGAACGCAGCGAAAUGCGAUAAGUAAUGUGAAUUGCAGAAUUCAGUGAAUCAUCGAAUCUUUGAACGCACCUUGCGCUCCUUGGUAUUCCGAGGAGCAUGCCUGUUUGAGUGUCAUUAAUAUAUAUCAAACCUCUCCUUGUUGAGUGGUUUGGAUGUGGGUGGUUUGCUGGCCUCUUUAAAGGGUCAGCUCCCCUGAAAUGCAUUANCAGAACGACCUGUUCAUUGGUGUGAUAACUAUCUACGCUAUUGAAUGGUGAAAGACAGUUCAGCUUUCUAACAGUCCUUGGACAAUUUAUCAUUUAUUUGACCUCAAAUCAGGUAGGACUACCCGCUGAACUUAAGCAUAUCAAUAAGCGGAGGAAAAGAAACUAACAAGGAUUCCCCUAGUAACUGCGAGUGAAGCGGGAAAAGCUCAAAUUUAAAAUCUGGCGGUCUUAUGGCUGUCCGAGUUGUAAUCUANAGAAGUGUUAUCCGCGCUGGACCGUGUA